AGCACCUAUAUUUCUGUUGAGCUGAUGGGCAAGACUUUAACAAGUGCAAAACUAAAUCUUUCUGCUACCCAGAGCUCAUUGUUCAGUAUGAGCUUUGAAACCUGUGAGGAGGGGUAUG
ensembl:snoRNA LOC120098705 small nucleolar RNA SNORA40